UACGGAGGGUGCAAGCGUUAUCCGGAUUCACUGGGUUUAAAGGGUGCGUAGGCGGGCCGGUAAGUCAGUGGUGAAAUCCUUGAGCUUAACUCGAGAACUGCCAUUGAUACUAUCUGUCUUGAAUAUUGUGGAGGUAAGCGGAAUAUGUCAUGUAGCGGUGAAAUGCUUAGAUAUGACAUAGAACACCUAUUGCGAAGGCAGCUUACUACGCAUAUAUUGACGCUGAGGCACGAAAGCGUGGGGAUCAAACAGG
rnacentral:rRNA from 1 species